rnacentral:rRNA from 1 species
UAGAACCUGAAACCCUAUGCCUACAAGGUGUAAGAGCACUUUCGAGUGUGAUUGCGUGCCUUUUGCUUAAUGAGUCUGCGAGUUACUUUCUGUGGCAAGCAUAAGAUCUUCUGGAUCGGAUGCGUAGCGAAAGCAAGUCCGAAUAGGGCGAACAUAGUUGCAGGAGGUAGACCCGAAACGGAGGUGACCUACCCAUGGCCAGGUUGAAGCGUCGGUAAUACGACGUGGAGGACCGAACCGGUGUGUGUUGAAAAACGCUCGGAUGAGCUGUGGGUCGGAGUGAAAGGCUAUUCAAACCCCGUGAUAGCUGGUUCUCCUCGAAAUGCAUUUAGGUGCAGCGUUGCGUGCUGAUGAGUGGGGGUAGAGCACUGACAGGGCUAGGGGGCAUACCCGCCUACCAACCCCUAUCAAACUCCGAAUACCAUUCAAUGGAGCGCAGCAGUGAGACGGCGGGGGAUAAGCUUCGUCGUCGAGAGGGAAACAGCCCAGACCGGCAGCUAAGGUGCCUAAAUAGUGCUCAGUGGAAAGGAGGUGAGGUUUCAUAGACAGUGAGGAUGUUGGCUUAGAAGCAGCCACCAUUUAAAAAAUGCGUAAUAGCUUACUCAUCGAGAGACCUUGCGCCGAAAAUACUUGGCGAUAAGCACUAUACCGAAGCUCCGGGUGUCAUAUUUAACUAUAUGGCGCGGUAGAGGAGCAUUCUCUAGACAGUGAAGGGUGAUGGUGACUGACCCUGGAGUGUAGAGAAGUGAGAAUGCAGACAUGAGUAACGAUAAGGCCGGUGAAAUCCCGGCCCGCCGUAAAUCCAAGGUUUCCCGGGCAACGUUUUUCGUCCCGGGGUUAGUCGGGACCUAACCCGAGGCCGAAGGGCGUAGGGGAUGGAAAGCAGGUUAAUAUUCCUGCACCCAGUUAGGAGGACGCAUGAUCAAAAGCUACUAAGUUAUUGAAUUCUGAGGUGAUACUACGGUUGAUCCGCAUAGCUAGAGAGAGUGCCAAGAAAAGUCCUAACAUUAAUGGCCCGUACCGUAAACCGACACAGGUGGAUGGGUAGAAUAUACCAAGGCGCAAGAGUGAAACCUAGUCAAGGAACUCGGCAAAAUAGCCCCGUAACUUCGGAAGAAGGGGUGCCUAUUUUUUAAUAGGCCGCAGUGAAAUGGCCCAACCGACUGUUUAGCAAAAACACAGCAUUGUGCUAAGACGUAAGUCGACGUAUACGAUGUGACACGUGACCAAUGCCAAAAGAUUACGGUAAGGUGUUAGCCCUCGUGGCAAAGCUCCAAGCCCAAGUCCUGGUGAAUGUCGGCCGUAACUAUAACGGUCCUAAGGUAGCGAAAUUCCUUGUCGGGUAAGUUCCGACCUGCACGAAUCGUGCAACGAGUUGGGCGCUGUCUCGACUAGAUGCUCAGUGAAAUUGUAGUGCCGGUGAAGAUGCCGGCUACCCGCAGAAAGACGGAAAGACCCUAUAGACCUUAACUGUAAGCUGUUACUGGUUAUUCGAUUUUAAUGCUCAGCAUAAGUGGGAGACGUUGAAGCGUGUUUUUAGGAACAUGUGGAGUCAUCAGUGAGAUACCACCCUUUAACAUUGGAUGAUCUAACCCUAAGCCGUCAUCCGGCUAGGGGACCGUGGCAGCCGGUCAGUUUUACUGGGGCGGUAUCCUCCUAAAGAGUAACGGAGGAGCGCGAAGUUUGGCUCAGCACAGUUGGUAACUGUGUGUUGAGUGUAAAGGCAUAAGCCAGACUAACUGUGAGACCUACAAGUCGAGCAGAUACGAAAGUAGGCCUUAGUGAUCCGGCGGUUGAAUGUGGAAUUGCCGUCGCUCAACGGAUAAAAGGUACCUUAGGGAUAACAGGCUUAUUUCGCCCAAGAGUUCAUAUCGACGGCGAAGUUUGGCACCUCGAUGUCGGCUCGUCGCAUCCUGGGGCUGGAGAAGGUCCCAAGGGUCCGGCUGUUCGCCGGUUAAAGCGGCACGCGAGCUGGGUUCAGAACGUCGCGAGACAGUUCGGUCCUCUAUCUUCUGUGGGCGUAGGAAAAUUGAUGGGUUCAGAUC